CCCCCCGUCGACCGUACUGUUCGAACCGUCGAGACAAGAGGGCUCGAAAGGGAUGUUUAAAAAUCUGGAUUCAAGAGUUUAAACAUUUCCAACUUGACUGUUAUUUCUUCGCCUUGGCGGCCUGAGCCGAAUUUCGUGGUUUUUAUUGGGACAAAAAUCCAAAAUCGGUCUUUAUUGAUUCUUUAAAGCCUUUGCUUUCAAGAUCAAGAUGAACGGGUCAUAGAAAAAGAAACGGUACAGCAAAGUGUUUUAUGCACCAUGUGAAGUGGAUGAGCUCCAUCAAUACAAAUACACCGUCCACACACACGUUUACUUUAAAGGCUCAUUUCUAUAUUCUAGAUACCUUCACUGUAAACAUAGACAGGUGACAUCAGGAUUUCUCCAUGUUCCGUGUUCCAUGUUCCGUGUUCCAUGUUCCAUGCUCCAUGUUCCAUGCUCCAUGUUCUGUGUUCUAUGCUCCAUGUUCCGUGUUCUAUGCUCCAUUCACCACAGCAUUAGAAACACAGUCUGAGGCACAUUUAGUCAGUUAGUUUCAAACUUCACAUCUACACACACUGAAGUUUUCCGGACAGAAACCUGCAGAAAGCGAUCGUGACGCCUCAGGAGUCUGAAGAGGAGAUGAAGACGCGUUCUGCUGCACUCAACAGAGCUCGAGACCAACAGGACGCCAUCAGGACGCCAUCAGGAUGCCAUCAGGACGCCAUGAGGACGUCACGCCAUAAGGACGCCAUCAGGACGCCAUAAGGACGCCAUCAGGAUGCCAUCAGGACGCCAUGAGGACGUCACGCCAUAAGGACGCCAUCAGGACGCCAUAAGGACGCCAUCAGGACGUGCUGAGAGUCGCCCCCUCAGGAGCAGCUCCAGAUCUACGCAUGACUCAGAUAAGCGGACAACACACACACACACGUACUCAGAGAAAAACUAAUAUUGAGAUGUACACGUAGAUCAUUAAUAUUUAGAUGUAUACAUAGAUCAUUAAUAUUGAGAUGUACACAUAGACACAUUAAUAUUGAGAUGUACACAUAGAUCAUUAAUAUUGAGAUGUACACAUAGAUCAUUAAUAUUGAGAUGUACACAUAUACACAUUAAUAUUGAGAUGUACACAUAGAUCAUUAAUAUUGAGAUGUACACAUAGAUCAUUAAUAUUGAGAUGUACACAUAUACACAUUAAUUUUGAGAUGUACACAUAGAUCAUUAAUAUUGAGAUGUUUACAUAGACACAUUAAUAUUUAGAUGUACACAUAGACACACUACCUGUAAGAGCCGAUUUAUGAUGUAUGGCAGCAUCUGAUUGAUGGGCGGGUCAGCCUAUAUAGGGUAGGAACCUUUGGGGGCUCGGCAGGUGUUUCUAGCCGGUAUAAGAAAAACAGUUUUGACUUUGAACGUAGAAACUAAGCAAACGCUUUAAGCCACUGAGGCAUUUUUUUCCGGAAACCCUCAUUGACGCGCCGCUGUUGUCUCAUGACGGAUGAAUGAGAGUCCUGUAGCCUUUGUGUUGUUGUAAACAAGUCCACUUAUUUGCCAAGUUUAGUCCUGUCACACGUUAACAUACAUCAUGGAUACAUGGGAGUGUGGAGGGGGAGAGAGAGGAGUGAUUAAAUAGAUAAAUGAGAUGUGUUGAGAAAUGCACUUUAAGAAAUAAGUUUUGGAAGUAUGUUCUAAGGAGGGCAGACAGACCUAAUAAUUGAGUCUGAGAGGUUAACAUAAACUCACAGACGCAUUGACUCCGGAAGGUUAGUAUAAACUUUCAGCAUAAAUUAAUUCUGCGAGGCUAACAUAAGCUCGUGGACACAAACAUUUUCUCUGAAAGGUUAGUAUAAACUUUCAGAACAUAGCUGUCUGCCCGGGUAAAAUACAUACGAACUGGUUGACUGUUGUUAAAUGGAAGGCGAAUUUGAUGAAGAAGAGGAGGACGGCGGCUGGGAGCCGGCCUUAGAUCAUAAAUAUUUAGACACACCUUAACAUUUAGAUACCCAAAGAUCAUAACAAUUUAUAUGUACACAUAGAUUAUUAAUAUUGAGAUGUACACAUAGAUCAUUAAUAUUGAGAUGUUCACAUAGACACAUUAAUAUUGAGAUGUACACAUAGACACACUACCUGUAAGAGCCGAUUUAUGAUGUAUGGCAGCAUCUGAUUGAUGGGCGGGUCAGCCUAUAUAGGGUAGGAACCUUUGGGGGUUCGGCAGGUGUUUCCAGCCGAUAUAAGAAAAACAGUUUUGACUUUGAACGUAGAAACUAAGCAAACGCUUUAAGCCACUGAUGUACACAUAGAUCAUUAAUAUUUAGAUGUACACAUAGACACACUAAUAUUUAGACACAAAUAGACACAUUAAUAUUUAGAUGUACACAUUGAUCAUUAAUAUUUAGAUCCAGACAAAUACACACUAACAUUUUGUUCUACAAAAAAACACACUAACAACAUUAACAUGUCAAUAACUUUUCUUCUCUUCUUUCUUCUCAGGAACUGCUUCAGAUUUCCCCCCAAUCAUUGUGUUGUUAUUAUUGUUAUUGUUUGUAUGCGUGUUAUUGUAUCAUGUAAGUAAUGUCAUCGAAGUAAUGUCAUGUGAUUAUUAUCUAAACAAUAAUAAAUACAUUUCGAUAAAAAAUAAAUUAAAUGAAUCCGUUUUCUGUUCGUCUGACCGAAGAGAAUCUCAUGUUCUUUAUUAUUUGUUGACUUGAAUGAAUUUUAACAACAAUGAUGUUGAGUUAAUGAUCGUUUGUGUAUUUAAUGACACACGCAGUUGUGAGUUGACACUUGGAUACUGAUUUUAAUUGUUGACUCUCUUCUUCCUGUAAUAAAACAUCUUGUCUUAGAAUAACGGCAGAAGAAGAAGAGAAUAUUUAAAGUAGAUGAACAUGUUUCCUCUACGGAACAUUUUCAUUAAUACAUGAAUGUUUCUAAAAAAUGAAGUCAGGCAACUCAAAUAAAACAAAUUCAAGCCCCGAGUUCAACGGGACGUGUGAGCGUCUCUAAUGACGCAGUCAAGUGCAACUGCAGAGUCAUGAAUGUCUGUUCGUUCUCUGUUGCUGGACGACAGACGACAUCUUCUCUCCCACUCUGUCAAUCAGAGACUCAAUGAACCUCCACGCUGCAGCCCGUCAACGCUCCUACAGUUUAGAUAGAUAAAUAAAUAAAUAUGACAAAAAGCAGAUCAGAAAAAUGUGUGUUAACUUCUC
ensembl:lncRNA